rnacentral:rRNA from 1 species
AUUGAACGCUGGCGGCAGGCCUAACACAUGCAAGUCGAGCGGAUGAAGGGAGCUUGCUCCUGGAUUCAGCGGCGGACGGGUGAGUAAUGCCUAGGAAUCUGCCUGGCAGCGGGGGAUAACGUCCGGAAACGGGCGCUAAUACCGCAUACGUCCUUAGGGAGAAAGGGUGGGAUCUUCGGACCUCACGCUAUCAGAUGAGCCUAGGUCGGAUUAGCUAGUUGGUGGGGUAAAGGCCUACCAAGGCGACGAUCCGUAACUGGUCUGAGAGGAUGAUCAGUCACACUGGAACUGAGACACGGUCCAGACUCCUACGGGAGGCAGCAGUGGGGAAUAUUGGACAAUGGGCGAAAGCCUGGUCCAGCCAUGCCGCGUGUGUGAAGAAGGUCUUCGGAUUGUAAAGCACUUUAAGUUGGGAGGAAGGGCAGUAGGUUAAUACCUCGCUGUUUUGACGUUACCCACAGAAUAAGCACCGGCUAACUUCGUG